UGUGGGGAGGAGAGGGGGUCUGGCAGAGGUUGGGGGUGGGCGGAAUGAGGACCCUGUUUUCUUCUUUUCGGUUUGCUGUGGAUGAAGGAGGGAGAGAGAAAGAGAAAGGGGGUGGGGAGAGAAGCGAGACAGAUGGCAGAGUGGAGAGGCGGCAGCCAGUGCCGGCACUGCCCAGCCUGGGCGGACCCAGCUCCCCCCCCUGCCAGCUUUCCAAAUGCCACCCUUCCCCCAUCCUCCCCUCACCCCAUCCCCCCAGCUUGGCACUGAUCUCCGAGAGAGAGGGAGAGAGGCUGGGCAAAGAGCAUCUGUUCCCUCCAUUUUCCCAGCUCUAUCGGCUGCCAACCUAGGGCCAUCGCCUGCCUCCAUCACCCCUCCGCCCGCCUGCCCGCCCGCCUACCCACCCAAUCCCAAACGGGUGCUGGAUCAGGUGCCGAAUCUGGCUGCCUCCUCGGGUAUACCCGUCACUGUGCAUUGCUGUGUGUCUGCCACCGCUGCCUGGCACUCAUGGGGCCGUGUGUAUGUGUGUGUGUGUGUGCGCAUGUACAUGUACGCAUAAACGCGUGCUGUAUGUGAGCCUCCUGGGCAUGGGUGGGGGUUGGCACUGCGGUUGCCAAUCUAGUGUCCAACCAGAAGGACAGGGGGAUGGAGUGGAAGGAGGGGAGAGGGUUGAGGCCUGGGAGGGCAGAAGAGGGUGCAUGAGUUGCUUCAUGCUGCCUGCUUACACGCAUUGGCACUGCAGCUGCCACCCUUGUGCCCGCGGAGAUGGGAGGAAGCGAAUGGGGAGGGGGACAGCCGCAGGAGUCCUGGUGGUCUGAGAGGGAGACUCGGUACCUGGGAGCCAUUGGCAUCACACCCGUCAGGCUGGUGCCCCGAGCUGGGGCAGUGGGAACAGGGGCCCCAGGAGGCAGAGAGGAGGGGCAGAGAUGUGUUAAUGAUGUUUCUGUCUCUCUGGAGCUCAGCUCUGAGAAACAGUUGGACUAUGAGGUAGUUAGCCUUCUUCUAGUCUGGGAAAGUGAAGUGGUGGAAAGAGUAGCCAGGGAAGUGCCAAGAAAGUGUCUAAGAGCAGGAGAAGGGAUCGUGCCACUGCUCCCUGGGGGAGCUCCUCAGGGCUGGCCUUUGUGAAAAGCACGGGGAUGUGGGCGUGAAGCAAUGGGUGCUGGCACUGCCCACGGAGCCUGGCAGAGGCUCUGGCAUUGUGUGGAAUGGAGGAGGGUAGAAGUGCCUCUUGCCAAUCUGGUUGAGAAGAUUGCUGUGUGCCAGGAAUGAGAAGGGAGGUGAGAUGGUGUGUGUGUGUGUGUGUGUGUGUGUGUGUGUGUGAGAGAGAGAGAGAGAGAGAGAGAGAGAGAGAGAGAGAGAGAGAGUUGUUUGGGAGAACAGACUUGUUUUCUGCCAGGACCUCCUUCCUGUUCCCUCUUAGGCAUGGGGAGCGGAGCGACAGACGGAGAGAGGCUUGAGGACACAAAGGAGGAAGCGUGCCAUUGCCAAGACCCCAAGGAAGAAGGACAGAGAGCGCUGGCAGUCCUGUCUGGCCCCCAGCCAGUUUCCUGCUGAAGAUGGCCAAAUCCUCUUGCCUGGUCUGUGCUGCUCAUCUGGGUCCUGUAGCGCCGCUGCCCCAUUCCAUCUGGAACCCCGACCCCACUUCCUGUCCCUCCACUGCUUCCCCCAGCCCCAGGAGACUCUGGUUCGGCCAGACUGGAAGCAGACGAAUCGCUGAGAUCCCCUGCAGAUGGACUGCAAGCCUCGCUCUCUGGUGAAGCUUUAGAAGGUUCCUCUGUAGCCUCUUCCUCACUGGGUGGAGGGGGAGGUGGGAGAGGUAGAGGUGGCUCUGGUGUUGGGGUGGUGGCCUCCUUCCCAGGUGGUAGGAAAGCCAGGGGCCCGGCAGCAGGAGUAACUGGUGGGUAGGGAAAAGCAGGUGCUUCCCGCUUUGGGGCUUCCCUCCCAGAUCCAUCAUCUACCUUGCCCAACAAGAGGUUGAACUUGGGGAAGGCUGCAGGGGCAGGAGUGAUGGGGGGCUUGACUGCUGGAUUGGGCACCCCACCCGGGGUGCUUCGAAACUGGCCUUUCCUCUCCCGGGCCCUGGUGUUCUGGAACCAGACCUGCACCACCCGCUUUUUGAGUCCCACCUCCUCGGAGAUGCAGUCGAGCAUCUUGCGCGUUGGGUUAGAGUCUUGCAUGUACCAACGGUACAGGAUCUCCAGCUGCUCGGGCAGGAUGGUGGCUUUCCCUUCCUAUGGAAGCUAACAUGCUCCGGGAGGUUACUUUCUUCAGAGAUUUCUCACCACCUGAUAUUUCCUGGUUUACUUACUUCUCCCUUCUAGACGAUGAGGCGGCCAAGAAACAGGUUGAGUGAGCUGCUAACUGUCGCACAACUCCAAGGAGGGGAAACCAGAGGACUGGCGGGGCACAGAGACCUGGGCCCUCCAUCUACCUGGAUCGUCCCUCAGACCCAGGAAAGGCCAAAUGAGCCUCCAGAGGUCUAGCAGUCAGAAUUCCGGGGCUCCCUCCAGCUACUAGAAACGCCAGGCCUCCCACGCUGUUCCCAGCCUUUUUACCUUGAUUACCACACCUUCCUCCCCCUCCGCAACCCCCCCCACCCCGCUUCCCGUCCCCACCAAACUCACCAGUUCCCCAUGCUUCACCAUUCCAUACUUUUCCCAAUGUCCCAAGUGGUUUGCAUCCACUCCAGGUCUUAAUUAUCAGCCAAUCUCUAAUGAUUAAACCUUUAGCGUUCAAGCCCAUGCUUCCAGAAGGGAUGUGGUCUCUCCUUCCUUCCUUGGGCCACCUCUAACGCUCACCUUCAGAUUCUUUGAUUAGGAAUGGGUCUUCGGCCUGGCCCCACCCAGCCUGCAGGCCCCCUUUCCCACUUCCCCCCCUCCUCCUAGGGGGCUAGCCAGGCGUGAAGUCAGAGCCAUUAAGUAGCUCCGCGUGGGGCUGGAUCAGCAUGCUAAUGAAAUGCAAAUCAGCACCUGGGCAAGGGGUGGAGGGCUGGGGGGUGGGGGGAGGUAGCUGGAGAACCGGGAGGAAAGUAAAGGUAUUAGAUGGAGGGGUUAUCCUAGAUAACCAGAAAGCAGAAGCCCGAAACUGGGAGAAAGGUGUCUCUCCUACGGAAUCCUUGGGGGUAGGGGGUAAAAGCGCUGGAUCACGAGGGUCUGACAGUCCACUGUUAGCCCUCACAGUGGGGGCCCACCACCCUUUUGCUGCCCCACCUGGUGGGAAGAAGUGAGGCUGGGCAAGCCGGGCUUCUCCCGGGCCCUGCCACCGAGGCCUGACCCGGGUGGUGCUUCAUCCCCGCUGGGCCACCGCGCCUACAUCACAUCGAUCAGCUGCUUCCUCCUGGCUCCUGAUUCACAACUCCAGAUCUAACUUCAGAGGAGGUGCUAGAACGACCUAAGCCCCAAAUCCUCUCUCCAAAGCUUCUACUUCCCAGGACUGGAAAAAGACCCAGCUGAUUCUUAGUUAGAAACCAAAGGAGUUUAGCUCUGGGCUAGCUCGUGGGCGAGACCCAGACCGCCAAGGGUAGGUCGGCAGCUGUUUAAAAUUGCAAAUCUCUUCCCCACCUCCCUCCUCCUCCUCUACAGGAAAGAAUUUCAAUUGCAAAUUUAUCUCUGCCUCAGUGCACCCCCCCAGCUCCCCCCCUUUUCUUCUCCACGCUUCUCCCAUCACCCUCUAUUUAUUACAAACCUUUAACUGCAGCAAUGAUUUUUUUUUUCACCUUUUCUUUCCUCCUUCCAUUUCCCUCCUCCUCAAUCUUUUCCUCCUUCCCUCUCUGAAUCUCUGUGUCCCUCUCUUUGCCCUUCCUACCUUGAACUCAGUUUUCAGCUCUUUCUGGAGAUGAUGCAGAGCCGGAUGACAGACCAAGUCACCCUCCACCUACCACCUCCAGGCCAAGAGUCCUGUUCACCCUCAGACCACUGCCAUUCCUCCUGUAGUUCCGGGCUUUCCUUAAGGGCGUCUCCUCUCCCUUGGGGCACAUCUCAGAGAGCCGGGUCCAUGGUUAUUGCUCAGGAUGAGAAGGGAAGGCUGGAAGUGCUACUUUCAAAGCUCAGCUAGGGAGGAGUUGCCCCCCAAACAUAAUCACUGAACUGCAAACAUUGUUCCAUGGGAGGUGUGCAGAAAUGCACCCAGUAAAUAGCUGGACAAGAAUUCCUCCUUCUUGACAAAUGCUCCCUAUUCGGGGGGCAGAUCCACCGUGCUUAAAACAGGAAGAAGCCGGGGAGCUGGGAGGCUCCAAGACGGACAGUAGACCCAGAAAGCUACCGAGAGAGAGAAAGAUGUUAAGAGAUGGACUGAAAGGCUUGGAUAUGAAAUUACGGACGUCUGAAAAGGUGGGCUCUGAGACCGCACAAGGCAGGGAGAACACAGUGAGGCACAAGAGCCAAAGGAGCAAGGGCAAAGGAAGGACCGAAGAAACGCGGCCGGAGGACAGAGAGACUCUAUCCCUCCCCGAGGAGGAACCUGGGCACGGGUGCAGCAAAUGGAGGCAAAGCCAGCGACGGGAGCUCCCGUCUGGAGCCCGGCAAGACCAGGGCUACCCUUGGAUGGCGCCCCCUUCCGCCCCAAGCAGGCCACCGAGAGGAGAAGAAACACUACUGCUCCCUAGUGGUUAUGGGAGGAACAUCACCAAGGAGAAAACAUGCCAGGCCGGGCGAACAGAUUGCCUUUCUCUUCCCCACUCCCCGCCUUAAACCAGAAUCCCACUUAAAGCAAAAUCCCACUCCCUUCUUUUCUCCAGACGCAAGGACAUGGCAAAGACCUUCCCAGAAAGUCUACCAGAUGCCACCAGCACAUUUGCUUAAAAUUUGCAUACAAUGAUUUCCACAUCAGAGCCUUCCAAACAGUUUUGCCUUUCACUUUUCCAACUGUUGGACCUAUCCCCUCUCCCUUACUGAAGAGUCCAUUUUUAGGACCUUUCCUUUUCUUUUUCCUCUCUCUGAAAUUCUUGCCUAGGGCACUGCCCUCUUCCACACUCAUUUUGCCUCUUGCCCCUUUUUGUCUCAACCUGUUGCUUUUAAGAGGCAGAAGCCUUGGAGAAGAGGGGAAAAGAAAAAGGAAAUAUAGAGUGCCCUGCCUAACAGGGAUUGUUUGGUAUAGACAAUAAACUCUAACUUGAUGAGCUUGAUUUUUAAA